rnacentral:rRNA from 1 species
UACGGAGGGUGCAAGCGUUAUCCGGAUUCACUGGGUUUAAAGGGUGCGUAGGUGGGCAGGUAAGUCAGUGGUGAAAUCUCCGGGCUUAACCCGGAAACUGCCGUUGAUACUAUCUGUCUUGAAUAUAGUGGAGGUGAGCGGAAUAUGUCAUGUAGCGGUGAAAUGCUUAGAUAUGACAUAGAACAUCGAUUGCGAAGGCAGCUCGCUACGCUAUUAUUGACGCUGAUGCACGAAAGCGUGGGGAUCAAACAGG